GGCUAACGCUGGCGGCGUGUCUUAGCCAUGCAAGUCGAGCGGACUUAUGGGGUAACUUAUAAGUCAGCGGCGGACGGCGGAGUAACACGUAGCUAACCUACCCUCUGGACGGGGAUAACCUACCGAAAGGUGGGCUAAUACCCGAUGUAGUCAUCCUGUAUAGGGGUGAUGAAAGGUGGGCUUCUGUUUACAAGCUCAUGCUGGAGGAGGGGGCUGCGGCCUAUCAGGUAGUUGGUAGGGUAAUAGCCUACCAAGCCGAUGACGGGUAGCCGGCCUGAGAGGGUGACCGGCCCGAGGGGCACUGAGAUACGGGUCCCACUCCUACGGGAGGCAGCAGGCUAGAAAUUUGGGCAAUGGGGGAAACCCUGACCCAGUGACGCCGCGUGCAGGAAGGAGCCCUUCGGGGUGUAAACUGCUGUCGUGUAGGGAGAAGGGUACUAAGGUGAACAAUCUUAGUACUUGACGGUACUACAGGAGGAAGCCCAGGCUAACCUCGUGCCAGCAGCCGCGGUAAGAGUAUCUAU
rnacentral:rRNA from 1 species